rnacentral:rRNA from 1 species
GAGGGGUGCAAACGUUAUUCGGAUUUACUGGGUGUAAAGGGUGUGUAGACGGGUUACCAAGUUCGUUGUUAAAUCUUUCGGCCUAACCGAAAGUUCGCGAUGAAAACUGGUAGUCUUGAGGAUGAAAGAGAGAAGUGGAAUUCUCGGAGUAGCGGUAAAAUGCGUAGAUCUCGAGAGGAACACCGAUGGCGAAAGCAGCUUCUUGGUUCAUUCCUGACGUUGAGACACGAAAGCGUGGGGAGCAAACAGGAUUAGAUACCCUGGUAGUCCACGCUGUAAACGAUGAUCACUGGAUGUUAGUCUUGCUUUGCAAGAUUGGUAUCGAAGCUAACGCGUUAAGUGAUCCACCUGCGAACUACGAUCGCAAGAUUA